CGUUCCUACAUCCUUAAGGAUAAACGCUUUGUCUGACAUUUAGCGUUACACAAUCAGCAGAGUGAAAAAAAUAGACACGCUCUUCCAAUCAGGCAGAGCGUUGCAUAAAUCUUUCAUUUUGAUAACGGAUUAACAUUUGAUAGCUAUGCAGUUUUCUAGCUUCGGCGCUCCUCUUACAAAAUUUACAUUCGGAUACCCUCGGUAGCACAUGGGAUAUUUUGGCCGCCAUAUUGCGUCUUUGCCGGCUGCAGAAAUUAAGCGCGUAACUGGCUUUUAUUGUAAGUUAAACUGUGUUUGAUGCGUAAAUAUGGUAAGGAAGUAAUAGAUUUAAAUCACUAAUUGAAUUUUUAAUGAAUAUGGAAGAAGGUGUUAAAUUAAUUGCCAUUAACGCAAUCCAAGAACCUAAAUCGUACAUAUGUACCCCACCCAUAAUUUUAAUGAAUAAUUUCAUAUUUGUAACUCUGUUCUUGAAAUUAUAGGAGUUUUGUGUUGGCUCAAGGGUUUUUUGUGCAGAUAUGCCCGCACGGUAUUAAACUUCUGUGUUUAGGCUUGUUUUUACAACGAAAAAUGUUACAGAGAAACUUGUAAAAACAAGACCCAGUUAACUAGGCUUAUUCCAGAAAAAUGUAUUAUUAUAUCCCCUCAACCAUGUUGAAGCAGUUAUUUAAAAGAGAAAUCGCCCCCCCCCCCCUCACCUCCUGCAGACAUUUAACCCAGCUUCCACACCCUGUUCCGUCUUAAUACCUCCUUUCCUGUCCCAAAAAUUACCACCCUCCCCAUUGGGUUCAUUCCUUUACCAUUUAUCAGUGAAAUACCCCGUCCCCGGCUUCGGAACUGCUUACACAGUGCACAGACAAAAUUGAAACCCUCCUUCCAUAUAGACAACCCAUUGCUCUAUUUACCUGUUAAUCCCCUUUUCCACAAAAAUAGCUUGUACAAAUAUGCCCACACAUUAUUUAAUAUCUUUUUUUUAGGCUUAAAGAAAACCCUGGGAGAUAAAGUACUCGUGGUCCCUAUAGGGGCUUGAACCCCGGACCUCGAGAUCUGUAGGCGGACACUAACGCUGUCCCUAAAGGGUGGCCUAUAUACCUAUUAUCACUAAAGGCUUGUUUUCAUAAUGAAAAAUGUUAUAGAGACUAUAAACAAGACUAAAGAGGAGAAAUCCCCCCCCCACACACACACACAAACACCUGAAGACAUUUAACCCCUCUUCCAACCGGUUACCUCUAAGUACCUCCUUAACCUUUGUCAAAAUAACCACCCUCCCCAUUGGGUCCAUUCACCUCACCAUGUAUGUCCUGGACAAAGGGUAACAAUUUGAGAAGUUUAGCUCAGAAUCCCUGAAAUAUCCUGAAAAAUAAUGGUAUGUAUGUAUGAGACACCUAGCAGGUCUUUGUUUUUAUGGGAAAUAAGCCAGAAAUUUAGCAUAUGUGUCAGUCCUGAGUUAAGGGUUUGGGUAGUUAUAUUUUAAAUCAGAUUUAUCUCCCUUUAUUUUGUUUUGUGUGCAUCGAUGUGCAUUGACAAUAGGUCAGAAUUUUCCCCAAGAAAUGCUUCAAUUUUAUGGGUUAUGCUUUGAUAAGAUACCUGUUAAUUAUCUGGAUAUCCAUGUAAGUGAAUACAUGUAUUAGGUUUUAAAAAAAAAACAGCUGGAUUAAUUAAUAUUGGAUUAAAUACAGGUUUGUUUAAUUCUGUCAUUACAGUUUGUAAUUACCAAUUCAAAGGUCUCGUAAAGUGUUCUGUAAUGAUUUUAUCUCUUAUAAUUUUGGCACAUUCUGUUUAUACAGUUUGUUAAUAUUUUGAGUAGUUACGUGUUUAAAAAAUGGCAGUCUUGUAUAUCACUGUCUCAUUUUUGCACUUUAAACCGUUUAAUCAUUUACAGACCUCUAACCAGAUCAUAUUCCUGCUGUGAGAUAUGGACAGGUGUAUUUAGGUCCGCAACCUGGUCAAUAUCCCAGUAAGCAGUUUGAGACAGACCAAAGGUCACCUAAAGAAAGAGAAAUUUCAAAGGUUGUUAAGGUAUGUAUGAUGCUUGCUAGGUGACAUAACAAAAAUGUCGUUACAUGGUCAGUGUUUGUAUGUUAUGGAGUCAAGUGUUGUAAGAAAUAAAUGGCAAACUGUAAAUAGUGAGCCUUAUUUUUUUCUUGGCACAAGUCUACUAACAUUUUCAGAUAAUGACCAUACCAUUUUCAUAGAUGGAAUUAAAUCCUUUGAUGAAAUUUAAUAGAUAGUGCUCAUGAAUUUUAAUUGUAGAAAUUGUGACAUCUUGUUAUUUGUGUGGAAAAUUGUGUAUUUCCCAUGUAUCAUGGGGUUAUCAAUGAGCAUGAACCUGUUGCUGGGGACUUGAACACAGAUAUUGGUAGAAAUCAUUGAUGUGA
rnacentral:lncRNA from 1 species